CAGCCGCCACGGGAAUACGAAGGGGGCUAGCGUUGUUCGGAAUUACUGGGCGUAAAGCGCACGUAGGCGGAUUUUUAAGUCAGGGGUGAAAUCCCGAGGCUCAACCUCGGAACUGCCUUUGAUACUGGAGAUCUUGAGUUCGGAAGAGGUUGGUGGAACAGCUGGUGUAGAGGUGAAAUUCGUAGAUAUUAGCUAGAACACCAGUGGCGAAGGCGGCCAACUGGUCCGAUACUGACGCUGAGGUGCGAAAGCGUGGGGAGCAAACAGGAUUAGAUACCCGCGUAGUCCCUGUCUCUUAUAC
rnacentral:rRNA from 1 species